rfam:Triticum aestivum genome assembly, contig: Triticum_aestivum_CS42_TGACv1_scaffold_223240_3B
UUUGUACUCCCUCCGUUUGGAAUUACUUGUCUCAGAAAUGGAUGUAUGUAGAACUAAAAUAUGUCUAGAUACAUCCAUUUCUGCGACAAGUAAUUCCGAACGGAGGGAGUACUCA